UACGGGGGGGGGUAAGCGUUGUUCGGAAUUACUGGGCGUAAAGGGCUCGUAGGCGGCCAACUAAGUCAUACGUGAAAUCCCUCAGCUUAACUGGGGAACUGCGUGUGAUACUGGAUGGCUUGGAUUUGGGAGAGGGAUGCGGAAUUCCAGGUGUAGCGGUGAAAUGCGCAGAUAUUAGGAGGAACACCGGUGGCGAAGGCGCCGCUCUGGGCCGAAACUGACGCUGAGGAGCGAAAGCAUGGGUAGCAAACAGG
rnacentral:rRNA from 1 species